GGGAUAUUUCCUACCAUGACAGUGAAGGCAUCUCAUUGGGACCGCUAGUAUUGAACACAGAAAGAAGAAUGAAAGCAAGCAGCUCUCCAGGCCUCUUGACAUCUCUGUUGACCCUGAUAGUCUGUUUGCUGACUGCAAAUAUUCUGAUCUAGAGAAAUCAAGUUAAUGCACACACAACAAACUCAGCAAUCAUAUAAUAACUUAGUAUAGAUUUGAUAAAUAAAAGCACUGAAAAUAGAAUCAGAAGACUUUUUUAUAUGCACAGAGGAAUAGUGAUGGUUUGAAAAGUGGAUGUUACUGAAUAUUUGACAUCUAUUAAAAUACUUCUUAUUUGCUCUGAGCACUCCUACUUGUAAUUGCUGCAGUUUUUCUAUACAUCUUGUAUGCUUCUGUUUCCAGUUCAUGAGUUUUACCUUCAGGUCAUUCAGGUUCACUUUAACAUGGUUACAUCAUGAUUUAUUUUGUGGUAUUCAUUCAUUCAUUAGCAAAUAUAAAAAUAAUGAAGAAGAAAUGUAUGUGUGAAAUAUGAAUGUCUUGUAAACUGUGAGAAAAUACAGUCUGAGUUGAUUGACAGUUUUGCUUUCUUUUCUCUUUUUGAAAGUAAAAAUGUUAGUACAUUG